UACGUAGGGGGCGAGCGUUAUCCGGAAUUAUUGGGCGUAAAGAGUACGUAGGUGGUUUGGUAAGCGUAGGGUGAAAGCCCGGGGCUUAACUCCGGUCAGCCUUACGAACUGCCAGACUUGAGUGCAGGAGGGGAAAGUGGAAUUCCUAGUGUAGCGGUGAAAUGCGUAGAUAUUAGGAGGAACACCGGUGGCGAAGGCGACUUUCUGGACUGUAACUGACACUGAGGUACGAAAGCGUGGGGAGCAAACA
rnacentral:rRNA from 1 species